rnacentral:rRNA from 1 species
AUUGAACGCUGGCGGCAGGCCUAACACAUGCAAGUCGAGCGCGCGGCGGACGGGUGCGUAAUGUUUGGGGACUGCCCGCUAGUGGGGGAUAUCUCUUGUAAACGGUAGCUAAUACCCCCUACUAUCGCGUCACCCCUAUGGGAUUAGCUCGUAGGUGAGGUAAUGGCUCACAUAGGCGACGACCCCUAGCUGGUCUGAGAGGAGGAUCAGCCACACUGGAACUGAGACACGGCCCAGACUCCGACGGAGGCAGCAGGGGGGAGUAUUGCACAAUGGGCGCAAGCCUGAUGCAGCCAUGCCGCGUGUAUGAAGAGGGCCCUAGGGUUGUAAAGUACUUUCAGUCGGGAGGCGUUACCGACAGAAGAAGCACCGGCUAACUCCGUGCCAGCAGCCGCGGUAAUUC